rnacentral:lncRNA from 1 species
GCACUGGUGGAGGCGAUUGAAGAUGGGUCCGUGAAGGGGAAGGAGUUCGCGGUGUUGACACUGUUGCAGUUGUGUGCUGAUAACAUUAGAAACCGUGGUUUGCUUGUUAGAGAAGGUGGGAUACCUCCUCUUGUGGCGCUUUCUCAGACUGGGAGUGUAAGGGCUAAGCAUAAGGUAAUUUUAGCCGAUUUGGAUUGCCCUAUGUUUGAAUUAAGAACUUGAAAUAGCUGUCUAUGGAAGUAACUUUAUUUUGAUUGAUUCCCAUAGGAUAAGGUUGAAUGCUUGAUAAUCACUAGAUAGUUGAAGCUUGAAGCUGUGUUUCUAAUACCAAUGCAGUUUAUAGUUUAUUGAAUUGCUUGAUUGAACAACCUCUCAAUUAUUAAGUAGCAGCACUUGGAUGAUCAGAACUGAGCAUUUCUCGGAGUUGUUUUUGUCAUCUACACCAUCAAAUACAUGUAUCUGACACAGUGCUGAGUUUUGCAGUGUAUCCAUUCAGUUAUAUGUUCGAACAUUAGAAUUGACAUGUAUGUUAAAUUUUAAUUUUGCAGGCUGAAACACUACUUGGGUAUCUGAGGGAACCAAGACAAGAUGCUUCAUCAUCUAGUCCUUAGAGAAGAGAAGUAUAAUUACUCAUGUAGAGGUAGUUAUACCUGGGUGUUCUAUUUAUUUUUUGUAUAUAAGGAGUGUUUUGAUGGUUUGUACAGUGUGGUUGAGAAAUUAUCGUACAAGUUAAAAAAAAAAGGA